UACAGCCAUAUCACACUGAAACACUGGUUUUUAUAUGAUCACUAAAGUUAAGCAACAUAGAGCUUGGUCAGUACCUAGAUAGGUGACCACUUGAGAAUAUCAGGUGCC